rnacentral:lncRNA from 1 species
CGCAGGCCUGGGAGCGGCCUGUGAUAACUGGUGUAUCUGGCAGGAGUAGCAGCUGCCCCUUGGCGCGACUGCUGGAGCCGCGAACUAGAGAAACACAGACACGCCUCAUAGAGCAACAGCGUCUCUCGGAGCGUGGAGCCCGCCAAGCUCGAGCUGAGCUUUCGCUUGCCGUCCACCACUGCCCACCACUGUCGUUUGCUGCCAUCGCAGACCUGCUGCUGACUUCCAUCCCUCUGGAUCCGGCAAGGUGUGUGCUGUGCUCCUGAUCCAGCAAGGUGCCCAUUGCCAGUCCCGAUUGGGCUAAAGGCUUGCCAUUGUUCCUGCACGGCUAAGUGCCUGGGUUCAUCCUAAUCGAGCUGAACACUAGUCACUGGGUUCUACGGUUCUCUUCCAUGACCCACGGCUUCUAAUAGAGCUAUAACACUCACCACAUGGCCUAAGAUUCCAUUCCUUGGAAUCCGUGAGGCCAAGAACCCCAGGUCAGAGAACACGAGGCUUGCCACCAUCUUGGAAGCGACCCACCACCAUCUUGGAAGUGGCUCGCCACCAUCUUGGGAGCUCUGUGAGCAAGGACCCCUGGUAACACAACCGAGGCUUCUCUGGGGUUUUUAAGGAAGAGUAUAGUUUAGGCACUUAGAAAUGUCUUUGUUUUUAAAGUGCACUGUAAAAGCAUCAUGUGGUCUAACCUUAAAAUAAUUCUCUUUUUGAAGACCCAGGAUUCAGUGUGGGCUCUGCCCAGAGCUUAGAGAUCCAGUUAAAAAAUAAAUAGUCCCUAUCUAAAUAAAAUUGGUCUCCUUAUACAAUCCUAUGAUAGAUUUCUAUAAUUUUAUGUUUGAUUUGGCAUCCAUCAUCAAUCUCCCUCUAGCAGUACCAGACUUUUUCUUUAUAUACCUUAUGAUGUAAAUUUUGCUAUUUGAUUUUCACCUGUGUUGUUUCAUUUAAUAUCUAAAUUUAUGGCUAUUUAGCUGACAACUGCCUAGUGUUGUGAAACAGGUUAUCAAAUAUCUGAAAGUCUAAGAUAGAAAAAAAAAGGUCUUUAUGAAUCUAUAAGAUGUACUUCUAUCGGCAUGCCUAAUAUGUCUAUGUAUUUGUGUGUUGAGUACAUAAUGUUUCACUACUGAAAAUAUAUAAAAGAGCUCUAAUUAAUUGGCUUAAAGAAAAAUAGAAGCACUUAAAUCAAAUACCUUCUUAAAAAAAAGGGAAGACUAGUCGAAUGCUUUUUCUUUUUCUUUUUUUGAGAUGGAGCUUCGCUCCUGUCGCCCAGGCUGGAGUGCAAUGGCAUGAUCUUGGCUGAAUACAACCUCUGUCUCUUGGGUUUAAGCAAUUCUCCUGCCUCAGCCUCCCAUGUAGUUGGCAUUACAGGCAAGCACCACCACACAUGGCUAAUUUUUGUAUUUUUAGUAGAGAUGGGGUUUUGCCAUGUUGGUCAGGGUGGUCUUGAAUUCCUGACCUCAGGUGAUCUGCCCACCUUGGCCUCCCAAAGUGCUGAGACUAUAGCAUGAGCCACUGUGCGUGGCUGUCCAAUGCUUUUUCAAGUUUACAUGAUUUAAGUAAAGUCCUUUUUUUUUUUUUUUUUGAGACAGACUCUGGCUCUGUUGCCCAGGCUGGAGUGCAGUGGCAUGAUAUCAGCUCACUGCAACCUCUGCUUCCCGGGUUCAAGUGAUUCUCCUGCCUCAGCUUCGGAGUAGCUGGGAUUACAGGUGCACAGCACCACCCUCGGCUAAUUUUUCGUAUUUCUGGUAGAGAUGGGGUUUCACCAUGUUAGCCAGGCUGGUCUCGAUCUCCUGACCUCAUGAUCCACCCACCUAGGCCUCCCAAAGUGCUGGGAUUACAGGUGUGAGCCACUGUGCCCAGCUGUAAAAUCUUUACUAAAUAAGCUAGCUUUAAAAUUACUGAUAAAGUAAUAUUAGAAAUGUCUUAAGCAUUGCCAGCAUACAUUUUUGUUUGCAUUUAUUAAUCAAGCAAUUUCAUACUUAUCCCUGCCAAAUACUAUAAGGUGUCAAAAUUUGGCAUAGGGGUUACAAACCUAUAAACCCAGCCCAAGAUUGCUUUCAUAAUCUUUAAUAAAUAAGACAUUGCUAUUGGUUUAAUGAAAACAGCUAUAUUUUGAAUUAUUUAGUAAAAUUACCAUAACUUCUGAUAUUGUGGCAUUAGGCAGUGUAAUCCACAGGCAGCAAGGAAGUUUGUUUGGGGGAAAGGACUAUUACUGUCUUUGUUUCAAAGCUAAAAUAUAAAUUAAAUUCCUUCUAAAGUUUGGGAAUAAGCAAGGACAGCUUGGAGGUUAGAAGCAAGAUGGAGUCAGUUAGGUCCUGUCUUUUUCACUGUCUCAGAAUUUUGCAAAGGUGAGUUUCAUAACUUUAAUUGAUGACUAUCACAGUUUUCAUAAAUAAUGUAGGUAAAUGAAUAAAAUAAAAUAGACAGAUGUAAUGGGAUAAAUACUUGUAGGCAAACUUGUCAUAAUUUAGAAUCUAAAGUUAUACUAAAAUAUUUCAUUAUUUAGGUAUUUUCCAAUAAAAAUAUAUUGUAGGAAAACAUUCUUUCUAGAAAAAAGUGUCCUUUUAAAAAAGGUGGACAAUUUUUUUCUAAUUCAAAGCUUAAAGGUUGUGUACAAAACAAGGUAAGAGGAGCCAGGAAAUAAGAGAGAUGUAAAGAAACUUAUAGAAAUAAAGAGGUAUAUUUUGGUAAGAAAGCUUAAAGAGAAAUAAUUUUAUAUGAGAAAGAAUAUUACAUGGUAAAUUUAGACCUAGAAUAAAAUGACUGGUUGUUUAAGAAAGGGAUGUUCAGGACAAACCAGAAAGUCCAAGCAUGUCAUGAAUGGUCUGGGUAAGUCACAAUGAAAGAAUUUAUUUAAAAAAAACCCCAAAACUUAUAUGAUCAAGUUGUCUGUAGUUAAAGGGAAAUUACAAUGGUCUUUCCAGAGACUUGGUUUGAUGUAAAAAAACCCAAAAACAUUUAUAUAGUAAAGAAUUGAUUAGAACAAUAAAAGUUCCUUAGGGUAUUGAUUUACUCUUAAUAAAUUAUAAGAGAUUUUAUUUAUAUCUUAACCCAAAGUUAAACUUCUAUUGCAUCUUGCUGUUUUUGGUUUUCUCUCCCCUUUUAAAAGGAGUGAAAUAAUAAUGGUUUCCUUCAACUCAUAUAAGUUUUUGUUUCCUCAACUUCUGUUUGUUGUGGCCUGAUGCUAACAAUAUUCUUAAAGAUCUGAAGGAAAUGUUUUCUUCCAACAUAAUGUUCUGUACACUGCAGAAGGGUUUUUCUUUUGCCUUUUGGUAACUGGCCUAACAGAUUUUAGGUUUUAUAAAAAUAAUUCCUAUGCCAUUAUUAUUAAGUUUUGAUUUGCUUAGGAAAAAAACUGAGAUUAAAUUUUUUUUUUUAAGUUAAGGUUAUUACAUCCAUGUAUCUUUCUGUAUGUGAUUUUAAAGUACUUGUGACAUUAAGUUACAGGGCUUUGACUCCUGGGUCUAAAAAGGACACCAAGUCCUGCUAAGUCUUAAAACACCGACAGCAAUUAAAACCUCAUCUUCAGGCCCUCUUGAUUGGCAUCAGAAUAUGCCAAUCAAAAUAAACUGCAUUCCUGAGACACAAGGUCAGAAGUUAAAGCCAUUCAACGCCUCAAAUUCCAGGGACUAUUGUGGAAGCGGUGGGCAUGUGGGAUUGUAAGGGCUGAUUUUAAGAGAUAAAAUAAGUUCAAUUUCUCUAUAAAUUAACCAGUAAUGUCAAAGACACUCUUAUUCAAGACCAGCAUAUGGACCGCUGUGUCAGAUUAACAAGAUUUUCUUGAAGCAUUAACCAACUCCUUAAUAAAGGUUAUAAAGGUUAUAAAAGGCUUAUGGAAGUUAAAUUUUAUGACCAAUAUUAAGAUUUUAUAGAUUAUUUAUAAAAUUUUGAAAAACAAAUUUAUUUGGCUUCAUGCUGUUUUUAUUAGAGCUAAUUGUUUAGAAAGUUAAGUGUCCUCUCUUAAAGAAUUAAGGUUUUCACUUUUUUUUUUUCAAACCCUUGAGUUAUCACUCUGGUUAAAUGAAUGACUUAUUUUACAAUAACCUGUAAUCCUAUUUUGUGAUAUCAAGUGUAAACCUUUGAUAUUUGACAAACUUUCCAAAAUCAAAAUUAUAAAUUAUGUCUUUUUUUUGGCUGGGCACAUACCUGUAAUUCAAGCAUUUUGGGAGGCCAAGGAGGGAGGAUCGUUUGAGGUCAAGAGUUUGAGACCAGCCUGGCCAACAUGGUGAAACUCUGUCUCUACCAAAAAAUACAAAAAUUAGCUGGGCAUGGUGGCACACACCUGUAAUCACAACUACUGGGGAGGCUGAGGCAGGAGAAUCACUUGAACCCAGGAGAUGGAGGUUGCAGUGAGCUGAGAUCAUGCCACUGCACUCCAGCCUGGGUGACAGAGCGAGACUCUGUCUCAAAAAAAAAUUAUGUCUUUUUUUGAACUAAUUAAUCCUUUAAGAUAUUAUUAAUAGGUUCCCUAAUGUCAAAAAAUGACAUAUUUGGUUAUUUGGUAUAAAAAUUAUACAGGAAACACCAUCAAAUAAGAAAUGGUGUUUGGUUUUCUUUGGGCUGUAUUUGUAUAAAAAUGUUAUUGGUAUGUAUUCUAAAAUUAUGGGAAACUUCUAUAAUUCUGAUACGACUUAGUGUACAUUAUCAGUAAUAAUUAUAAUUGUUAUGUUAAAUUAUUGUGUGCAACAGAGGUAACAAAUUUCCUCAUCAAUUGUGUCUUUGACUAUGGCUGCCCUAAAACUUUUUGUCAUCCACAGACAAUUAUUGUCUUUUUUUGGUUCUCUUUAGAAGGUAGUUUUAUAAAACUCUAACAGGUGCUCUUGAACACAGGUUUCUGAUAACAUUGGAGAUUGUGACAUCAGAAUAGAUGAAAAACUUUCAGGACUCAUGGAGAGAUAAAAUAUUCAUGAAUAUCAAGCAGAAUAGGAAUUAACUUCAUGGAUUAAACUAAUAGAAGUCUGAAGUAAUCUGUUUAACUUUUUGCCUAAAAUGGUGCUGAUUCUUUUGUUUUUCAAAGUCAAGAAAAUGUUUAAGCUAUUUACAGAUUCUAACAAUUGAGUAAGUAUACUCCUAUGAAUAAAAUUUGGAGCAUAUUUCUUUCUCUGUACCUGAUUUCUACAGAAUUUGGAAACUAUUUGUGAGUAUUCUUAACUUACGACAAUACAGUUAUUUGCAUAAAUGCAAUAAGAAUCUGUUUUCAUUUGUAACAGGACACAAUUGGAGAAACUAGUUACUUUACCGAGGCUCUUUACUGGGAUGGUGUGCUUUGCUUUAAGGAAUCAAACUUGGCUUAUGGAAUCAAUACAAGCCCCUUGGGAAAACUGGCCUCAUACUUUUGUCUAUACAGUCCCUGUACAGGGUUCCUGACCUGUGCCAACCCAGCUCCUAUGGUCCCACCCAGAAGCAAUUCAGCCCACAGAAGGGCAGCUUUGACGCCUAUUUCAUCUCCACCCCAGUCAAUCAACAGCAAGCACCUAUUACCUGGCCACCCCCUCCCUUCCCCCAAACUGCCUUUGAAAAACCCCUGACCUAAGACCUUUGGAGGAGAUCAUUUGAGUACAAACUCCAUUUCCC